CCUGACCUCGUGAUCUGCCCUCCUCAACCUCCCAAAGUGGUGGGAUUACAGGCGUGAGCCACCACACCUGGAUGAUUUGUUCUAUUCUCUCUUCUCCAAACAUGUUACAUGUUUUCUCAUUCCCAUGAAUUGAAGCUAUUUAUUUCUCCUUUGUUUCUUAUACAUGCUUCUUACAGUGUUUGCCUGUUUACCUAUAGAAAUUCUAUUCGUCCUUCAAGACAAAGCUUAAAUGCCAUCUUAUUCAUAAAGGUUUUCCCAACCUACCCUGUUAAAUCAUCGCCUCUCCUGCAAUACACGUCUGUCAUGCAUUUGUAUUAUUCUGCUUUAUGUAGCAUCAUUUUAUAUGGCUUGUCUUCUCUCCUUCUUAGAGACAAUAAGUGUAUUCAGGGCAAGACUGGUUACUCCCUCAUUGAAUCUAGUACCUUGCUCAAUGCCCUGCAAUCAAUAAUAUCUGUUGGAAUGAAUUAAUUUGAAUAGGUUAAAUUAUAUCAUCGUGCUUUUGCAUGCACAUCACCUUAACUGGUGCCCCUGACCUAUUUUUGGUGCAUAUCCUUGAGUUUCAUUUUGGUAAUGGAAGAAAUAUCAAGCAGAAGAAAAGAUAAAUACCCAGAGCCGGUCAGCAUGAUCUAUUGUGUUUGAACAGGAAUAUUGGAACAUAACUUCUAAGAAUGCCAUUUCAAUUAUUUGUAAAAUAUUUAAAUAGUAUAAUCCAAUUUACAUUCUAUCAUUUCUAACAGCUGUAAAAUUUACUUUACACCAAAGUUAGCUCAAUCACUUUAAUUCAGUCUGGAAAAACAGUACAAAUGAAAGCUUAAUUUGUAUUUAAUCUCCUCUUUUGUUUCUACAUUAUUGCCUUCGAAUCAUUCCUUUUAGUGAUUGAGAUUUAAACCGGGGAGAGGAAAAAAGCUUGAUGAAAUAUUUGAGAAGAAUAUAGCCCAUAAUGAGAAGUUGGAAGUCAGUGUUUUAAAAUUCCAACUGGCUUUUCUUUGGGGUUUCAAUUCAUGGCAAUGUCUUCGUGAUAAACCUGAGGUACGAGAUAUGUGAGUUACUUUAUCAGAAUCAUAGGGCUAUAACUCUCAGGUAUUUAAAACUAGUUGAUUCAUUUGGAGCAGGUUACAUUUAUACUCUGUAUAUGAAGAUUGGCAGGGAAUACAAAUGUACAUAAUUAUUAUUUAGUGUGUUGAUCAUACUCAUAUAUUUCCAAAUGGCUUUAUGAUCAUUUUGGUUAGUUUUUCUCUCUAGGCUCUGGCAGUCUUCCAGCUAAUGUCAUCAGCAGGGAACAGCAGCAAGGAGAGGUGGCAGAAUUGUGACUAUCCAUGGCUUUCCUGUCGCUAUAUAGUAUCAGGUGGUGGCAUUUAUAGAAGUGUUCCAGAGGCCCACACCUGUCCUUUCCUGAGCCCUUCUUCUUCAUCCCUAUACUUACUGAAUCCCACCCUCACCCCUAGCAAACCUCUUUGAAUUCAAGAGGUGGCAGAUUGAAAGAGGCUUCAAUGAAGGAUGAGAAACUGGUGAAGUAAAUUACCCCAAAUCAUGUGGUUUCCUGGCCUGGCGGGUAGGAUUUGUUUGGAUGAAAAGUGGAAAUCCAGUGGGAAAGGGACAGCUUUCAGAAGAACCUGAAGUCCUGGAGAAGAGAUUGAAUUCUGUCCUGAAAGCCACAGGGAAAUCCUGUGGUUACCACCUUCCUUUAUGUGACCUUACUCUCAAUAGUGAGUGUUUGGACCUUAUUCAUUGGAUGAGAGGCAGCUUUUGAGCCAACAAGCAACGUGGGGAAAGUGGUGUUUGAAGGUGAAUCCGUCAGGUGCUGUGUAGAUUCAAGUGGAGGGAACCUAGAAACAGAUUAGCUAAAACUAAAACUGUUUCCUAAAACACCACAAACAACAAAAGCAAAUAUUGAUUGAGCCCUCACUAUGUGCCAGGUGCUGCCCUUUACAUCUGUCAUCUUCACAAAAACCCUGUGAAGUACAUACUCAUCGUAUACCCAUUUUACAGGUUAGGAAACCAAGGUACAGAGAGGUAACUUCCUGAAGGUCACACAGCUGGCUAAUGUCCAGGUCAGGAUUCAAAUCGGAUUGCUCGAUUCCAGAAUCUGGGUUAUUGCCUACUAUGUUAUAGGCUCUUAUAACUCUUAGGACUUCGGCAGUGAUAAGUGGAAGUGGAGAUAGAGAUACAUGACGUAAAGAGUAAAUGUCAGGUAUUACAUGAUGCUGGAAUAGUAUGAGCAUGUUUAGGAAAUCCUCAGCAGGGAAGAGUUCCUUGCACAAAGAAAUUGAGUAGAGUUUAGAACAGCACGUAAAGGAAGGCAGAAGGCCUUUCUGAAAUAAGUCGGUUUAUGUUUAGAACAUGGAAGAAGAGAUAGCAUAGGAAAUUGCCAUUCUGAUGACCCUGCAUGUACUCUGCUAAAAACCAUGGAGGUUGUCUGAGAAAUGAGUAUGGUGAAAUGAGUAGAUUUGUUGGUUUUGGAGUCAGACAGAGGUGGGUGUAGGUUCCAGUCCUUUCCUUCCUAACCUGUGACCUUGGGCAGUUUGCAUAAUCUCUGCAUUUCAGUUUUCCCAUGUGUAUAUUGAGGAUAAUAGAAGCAUCAUCCUUAUUAAGAUAUUGUAAAGAUUGAGUUCAUGUAUGGAAAAGAGAUGAAAAAAUAUAUGACAUACUCCGUCAAUACCAGUUAUUACUGUUAUGCUUCUUGUUAUUACAGCGUUCACGGGUGUUAAAACAGAAUAAUGAGAUCUCUAUUUUGGAGACAGUACUUUGGUGUUAGUGGGUGCAACACAAACUCAAGAGCUGCUUGGUUUCCAAUUCUGGCUCCACCUGCUAGCUAUAUGAUUUAGGGUAAUUUACUGAACCAAUUUCUCAUCUGAAAGCAAGGAAAACAGUAUUACCUAACUUGUGAGUUGAUGAUGAUGAUUGUAUCAGUAUAAAGCAUUUAGAAUAGCACUUAGCACACUCAGUUGUUUAUUGGUGAUCUAAAAGUUGUUGUUUUUUCUUUUAAUUGUGGUUUUCUCCUCUUCAUUGCCUCUUGCCUCUGAAACAUUUAGACCUCUGGUUGUCUCUGGUGUGUCAUAGGGGCCUGUGGCCUGUGGUGUUCUCCUUGCUGAAUCCUAUUUAACUGUUGAGAAUGUACCUGGGUAAGUAGUCAUUGCUGCCUUGAAACAUAGAUUCAUGAGCAAAGUAACUAUGAAGCUUUGAUGUGAUAUGUGGGCGAUGAUCACACAUAAAGGGCACAGCACAUUGGUGACAAGAAUUUUGCUGGGCUGUGAAUUUCUGACAUUAGCCUCCUCAUUGAAUAUUAUCUGCCCCUCUUCUCUCUUGCUUGGGACCUGUACUGAGGCACGAACCUUGCUCCACAAGGGGCUGAGAGGUAACAGUACUAACUAUGGAAGCAUGCAUUUGUGUGUGUGUGUGUGUAUGAGAAUAUUAGUAGCCUGAAGGGAGAUCUCAUGCUGCUUUGCUUUGUUUCAUUUUUUUGGUUGUAAAGUUGAAUAAAAGGCACUUAGUCCAAAACUUUAAAAAAUUGCUACUGGGCAAAGUAAUUUUGUGUCAGGCUUCUGUUCAGGGCAGAUUUACACUGGUUAUAAAUCUCUGAAAUUAAGGUCUUACCGUAGAAAAGCUGAAAUGUAUUCAACAUUAGCAGACACCCAGCCCUGUUCUGAACCAGUGGCCGUUCUUCCGCCAUGUAUAAUAGGAAUAUCUAUCUAUGUGUUUGGGGGCAAUAAUAAGUUUAAAUAUGCCUCUUAGAAUGGGUAAUGGCUUUCCAAUGAGUAGCAGAAUUUUCUAUCAACAAUUCUUUUCCUAGAACCAAAGGUUAAGUUCAAGAGUUUGAUUUAAUGACAAAGUUAAUUAGGCCCUUAACAUUACAGGGUUCUUGCCUUUCAUUUUCUAAUAAAGAUCACAGUCUAAGGCCAGCAACCUUGCAGAAGUGGGGAACACAAGACUAGCACUUGUUCUUCUGAUGUUUGGGGAGGGUGACCAUAGGAGAUGAGGGGUGCUUAGCAAUCACUGAGUUGACAAAGGGCCUGGAGAAUGCCUCCUAGACCUGAAGAAUUUCAUUCUUACCUCUACAAAACCUUAGAUAUAAAAUAUGCUUGAGCUUUAAGGAAACUUAAGGAUUAUCUAAUCAGUCCUUUCAUUUUACAGCCAGGGAAACUGAGGCUAAAAGGACUAAGAAAUUUGUCAGUGGUUACAUAGUUCACUUGAGUAAUGGAUCUCCUAAGAUUAAACCACGUACUUCUAAUCAAAAUGGUCUAUCCUCAAAUACUCAUAUUCAAGGAAAAGCAAAACCUCUUCUUGGCUUAUAGGAUUUAUGUUGUUUAUGAGCUAGUUUUGCUAAAACACUUCUUCCUAUCCUUUUUUUUUUUUUUUUUCUGAGGCGGAGUGUCACGUUAU